rnacentral:rRNA from 1 species
AACGAACGCUGGCGGCAGGCUUAACACAUGCAAGUCGAACGCCCCGCAAGGGGAGUGGCAGACGGGUGAGUAACGCGUGGGAACGUGCCCUUCGCUUCAGGAUAGCCUCGGGAAACUGGGAGUAAUACUGAAUACGCCGUAUUGGGAAAGAUUUAUCGGCGAAGGAUCGGCCCGCGUUAGAUUAGGUAGUUGGCGGUGUAAUGGACCACCAAGCCUACGAUCUAUAGCUGGUCUGAGAGGAUGAUCAGCCACACUGGGACUGAGACACGGCCCAGACUCCUACGGGAGGCAGCAGUGGGGAAUCUUGGACAAUGGGCGCAAGCCUGAUCCAGCCAUGCCGCGUGAGUGAAGAAGGCCUUAGGGUUGUAAAACUCUUUCGCCGGAGAAGAUAAUGACGGUAUCCGGAGAAGAAGCCCCGGCUAACUUCGUGCCAGCAGCCGCGGUAAUACGAAGGGGGCUAGCGUUGUUCGGAAUUACUGGGCGUAAAGCGCACGUAGGCGGGUUUGUAAGUAGGGGGUGAAAUCCCAGGGCUCAACCCUGGAACUGCCUUCUAAACUGCAAGCCUGGAGGUCAGGAGAGGCGAGUGGAAUACCGAGUGUAGAGGUGAAAUUCGUAGAUAUUCGGUGAACACCAGUGGCGAAGGCGACUCGCUGGACUGAUACUGACGC